rnacentral:rRNA from 1 species
UACGUAGGGGGCUAGCGUUGUCCGGAAUCAUUGGGCGUAAAGAGCGUGUAGGCGGCCCGGUAAGUCCGCUGUGAAAGUCGGGGGCUCAACCCUCGAAUGCCGGUGGAUACUGUCGGGCUAGAGUGCGGAAGAGGCGAGUGGAAUUCCUGGUGUAGCGGUGAAAUGCGCAGAUAUCAGGAGGAACACCGAUUGCGAAGGCAGCUCGCUGGGACG